GAAUCGCGAUAUGUAAUGUGAAUUGCAGAUCUACAGUGAAUCAUCGAAUCUUUGAACGCACCUUGCGCUCCUCGGUGUUCCGAGGAGCAUGCCUGUUUGAGUGUCAGUAAAUUCUCAACCCCUCUCGAUUUGCUUCGAGCGGGUGCUUGGAUGUUGGGGGCUGCCGGAGACACUGGAUUCGUCCAGGACUCGGGCUCCUCUUAAAUGAAUCGGCUCGCGGUCGACUUUCGACUUUGCAUGACAAGGCCUUUGGCGUGAUAAUGAUCGCCGUUCGCCGAAGUGCAAGACAGAAUGGUCCCGUGCCUCUAAUGCGUCGACGCCUCUAGGGGCGUCUUCCUCAUUGACGUUUGACCUCAAAUCAGGUAGGACUACCCGCUGAACUUAA
rnacentral:misc_RNA from 1 species